rnacentral:lncRNA from 1 species
UGCCACUGCACAUCUGGCUGGAAGGAUGAAGGGGAAUCUGGAAUGGCAUGAUUCUUCUCUGAUGUUGUGGAAGGCAUGGAAAACUGGGCUCUGAAGAAUCCCACACCGUUAAGUACGAGCUCAGGGCCAGUCUUGGUUAGGAGGA